AUAUGUAGUACAUUUCUGGUGUUAUUAUCUGCUCCCUCACCCUCACCAAUACCCGCCCAAUUUGUAUUUUUUUUUUACAUGCAUGCAAAUUUGGAGACGCACUAAUGUGGUGAAAGUGUGUGUGUGUGUGAGAUACCAAGUGUUUUGCCUCUCCUUAUAAGUGCACAAGAUACACACUCGUCUCUAAUCUCCGAUCACCUCCACCAGUAACCAUGAUGAUCCUGAGCACCACCGCUCUCGCCGGACUCCUCCUCUCUCUCUCGGGGUUUGAGGCCAUAGUGCAUCUGACCCAGGAGAAGAUCAUGAACGUGAACAUAGGACAAGAUGUAAAGAUUCUCUGCAGGAGAGAUGAUAGUGGUAGCUGGGCCAUUUCAUGGUACCAGCAGAAAGCUGGAGAUGCUCCAAAGUUCUUACUAGCUGAUAGCACCAGAGCCAGUGGUCUGUCCAGCAGAUUCACAUACACAGACAGUGGUGUGGAUGAGUACCUGAACAUCGGCCGAGUGGAAGCUGAGGACGAAGCGGUGUAUUACUGCGGCUGCAUCAUUUGUCAAAACCAUCACAAUGCUGCAGCUCAAUGAGCAACUCGUACAAAAACCUCAGAGUGUUUCAGUCAUCCUAAUGAUCCGUCCCAUUCAGUCCAGGAGCUCCAAUCCAGGCAGUAAUGAUUAGAAAUUUUUUUUACGAUUUCUCAUGCCACAUGUCUGAAAUUUCCUCCAGA